UACGUAGGUGGCAAGCGUUGUCCGGAAUUAUUGGGCGUAAAGCGCGCGCAGGUGGUUUCUUAAGUCUGAUGUGAAAGCCCACGGCUCAACCGUGGAGGGUCAUUGGAAACUGGGGAACUUGAGUGCAGGAGAGAAGAGUGGAAUUCCACGUGUAGCGGUGAAAUGCGUAGAGAUGUGGAGGAACACCAGUGGCGAAGGCGACUCUCUGGUCUGUAACUGACGCUGAGGCGCGAAAGCGUGGGGAGCAAACAGG
rnacentral:rRNA from 1 species